UACGUAGGGUGCAAGCGUUGUCCGGAAUUAUUGGGCGUAAAGAGCUCGUAGGCGGUUUGUCGCGUCUGCUGUGAAAACUGGAGGCUCAACCUCCAGCCUGCAGUGGGUACGGGCGGACUAGAGUGCGGUAGGGGAGAUUGGAAUUCCUGGUGUAGCGGUGGAAUGCGCAGAUAUCAGGAGGAACACCGAUGGCGAAGGCAGAUCUCUGGGCCGUAACUGACGCUGAGGAGCGAAAGCAUGGGGAGCGAACAGG
rnacentral:rRNA from 1 species